rfam:Eubacterium uniforme strain ATCC 35992 genome assembly, contig: EI43DRAFT_scaffold00009.9
AACCGCCGUGUACGGAACCGUACGCACGGUGGUGUGAGAGGUCGGAAUUUCUCACUUGUGAGAAAUUCCUCCUACUCGAU